AAAAUCACCAAAACAAACCAACCCCUCAGGUUUGUUAUGGGUAACGUUAGCACAUGGUUGUCAACUUAGACAUCGCUCAGAUGAAAAGCAGAUUGAAGUUCUGUGCAGCGGAGUGUGACUCUCCUAAAGGGACCGGGAUCAAGAUAAGAAUUAAGCGAGGCCAAGGACCAGUCAGGCAACCGGCCAACAAACACAGAGAAGGCACCACGAAAACACAAAUCAUCAAAGGAUAAAGUUGGCGAGACUCGCUGUCUGUCCCCAAGAGUGACUGUGUGAACACACGUAGGUCCCCACAACCUGCAGCGAGAGUUUCACACCAACAUGCAUCCUGCUUUCAUUCUUCUUCUCCCCCGUCGGCAAAUUCUGGUGGCGCAGAGACAAAAGUGGCCCGUGUCAUCUUUCCCUGGACCGCCGCGCACCAGCGCGCGCACAGGCCCCACGCACAGGCCGCACGCACGAAACGCACGCACGAAACGCGCGAGAGGGGCAGCGGAGAAGAGAUCAAGGUGCAGAAUGUGAGCCAUUAGAGACGCAGAA